rnacentral:rRNA from 1 species
GACGAAGGAUGCAAGCGUUAUCCGGAUUCAUUGGGUUUAAAGGGAGCGUAGGCGGCCUUAUAAGUCAGUGGUGAAAUCUCUCGGCUUAACUGAGAAAUUGCCAUUGAUACUGUAGGGCUUGAGUACAGAUGCCGUUGGCGGAAUAUGACAUGUAGUGGUGAAAUACAUAGAGAUGUCAUAGAACACCGAUUGCGAAGGCAGCUAACGAAACUGUAACUGACGCUGAGGCUCAAAAGUGCGGGGAUCAAACAGG